rnacentral:rRNA from 3 species
ACAUGCAAGUCGAACGGAAAGGCCCCUUCGGGGGUACUCGAGUGGCGAACGGGUGAGUAACACGUGGGCAAUCUGCCCUGCACUUCGGGAUAAGCCUGGGAAACUGGGUCUAAUACCGGAUAGGACCUUUAGACGCAUGUCUUUUGGUGGAAAGCUUUUGCGGUGUGGGAUGGGCCCGCGGCCUAUCAGCUUGUUGGUGGGGUGAUGGCCUACCAAGGCGACGACGGGUAGCCGGCCUGAGAGGGUGUCCGGCCACACUGGGACUGAGAUACGGCCCAGACUCCUACGGGAGGCAGCAGUGGGGAAUAUUGCACAAUGGGCGCAAGCCUGAUGCAGCGACGCCGCGUGGGGGAUGACGGCCUUCGGGUUGUAAACCUCUUUCACCAUCGACGAAGGUUCGGGUUUUCUCGGAUUGACGGUAGGUGGAGAAGAAGCACCGGCCAACUACGUGCCAGCAGCCGCGGUAAUACGUAGGGUGCGAGCGUUGUCCGGAAUUACUGGGCGUAAAGAGCUCGUAGGUGGUUUGUCGCGUUGUUCGUGAAAUCUCACGGCUUAACUGUGAGCGUGCGGGCGAUACGGGCAGACUAGAGUACUGCAGGGGAGACUGGAAUUCCUGGUGUAGCGGUGGAAUGCGCAGAUAUCAGGAGGAACACCGGUGGCGAAGGCGGGUCUCUGGGCAGUAACUGACGCUGAGGAGCGAAAGCGUGGGGAGCGAACAGGAUUAGAUACCCUGGUAGUCCACGCCGUAAACGGUGGGUACUAGGUGUGGGUUUCCUUCCUUGGGAUCCGUGCCGUAGCUAACGCAUUAAGUACCCCGCCUGGGGAGUACGGCCGCAAGGCUAAAACUCAAAGGAAUUGACGGGGGCCCGCACAAGCGGCGGAGCAUGUGGAUUAAUUCGAUGCAACGCGAAGAACCUUACCUGGGUUUGACAUGCACAGGACGCGUCUAGAGAUAGGCGUUCCCUUGUGGCCUGUGUGCAGGUGGUGCAUGGCUGUCGUCAGCUCGUGUCGUGAGAUGUUGGGUUAAGUCCCGCAACGAGCGCAACCCUUGUCUCAUGUUGCCAGCGGGUAAUGCCGGGGACUCGUGAGAGACUGCCGGGGUCAACUCGGAGGAAGGUGGGGAUGACGUCAAGUCAUCAUGCCCCUUAUGUCCAGGGCUUCACACAUGCUACAAUGGCCGGUACAAAGGGCUGCGAUGCCGCAAGGUUAAGCGAAUCCUUUUAAAGCCGGUCUCAGUUCGGAUUGGGGUCUGCAACUCGACCCCAUGAAGUCGGAGUCGCUAGUAAUCGCAGAUCAGCAACGCUGCGGUGAAUACGUUCCCGGGCCUUGUACACACCGCCCGUCACGUCAUGAAAGUCGGUAACACCCGAAGCCAGUGGCCUAACCCUUGGGAGGGAGCUGUCGAAGGUGGGAUCGGCGAUUGGGACGAAGUCGUAACAA